rnacentral:rRNA from 1 species
UGAAAGCACUUUGGAAAGAGAGUGAAACAGUACGUGAAAUUGUUGAAAGGGAAACGCUUGAAGUCAGUCGCGUCGACCGAGACUCAGCCUCGCCUUGGCUUGGUGUACUUCUCGGCACGACGGGUCAGCGUCGAUUUCGUCUCUCGGAAAAUGGCAAGGGAAAGGUGGCACCUUUGCGGGUGUGUUAUAGUCUCCUGUCGCACGCGAGGGGUUGGAUCGAGGAACUCAGCACGCGCCUUUUGGUGUCGGGGCUUUGGCCCACGUAACGUGCUUAGGACGCUGGCGUAAUGGCUUUAAACGACCCGUCUUGAAACACGGACCAAGGAGUCCAACAUGCCCGCGAGUGUUCGGGUGGAAAACCCGUGCGCGUAAUUAAAGUGAAAGUUGGGACCUCUGUCGUGGAGGGCACCGACGCCCGGACCAGACCUUCUGUGACGGAUCUGCGGUAGAGCGUGUAUGUUGGGACCCGAAAGAUGGUGAACUAUGCCUGAAUAGGGUGAAGCCAGAGGAAACUCUGGUGGAGGCUCGUAGCGAUUCUGACGUGCAAAUCGAUCGUCAAAUUUGGGUAUA